UUUCACGAUAACCCCAUACGAAAGAAGCGAGAGAGAAGGACGGAGAAGGAUCUGUCAAAGGUGUUUGUUAGGUUGGAAAGCUGGUCGGAUGCUGAUGAUCGCGCUGCUGGUAAGUUUGCCAAAAAUAUGCAUAAUUUUAACACAUUUUGUUGGUUUUCCAUUCUUUACAGAUCAUUUAUCAGAUACAGCAGCAGUGCCCGAACGAUUCGUCGUGAUCUGGUGAGUAAUUAAGCUGAUAUUUGGACGAUCAAGUCCGAUGCCGUACCACUGCCUCUUUCCAGAAUGUUCCUGCACAUGCAUCGCCGGGAGAUUGGAAAAGGAUGUGAAAACGUUUUACGCCCUCCGAGAGCUGCGAGCCGUGAGUAAGCGGUAUGUGUGAAUGUGUGCCGUCCAUGCGAACGGCCCGUCUAUGGGAACGUACUUUUCGGUCCUUAUACGGCCAACGAAGGAAGGAAGCAUUGUAAGGAUGAGGUAUGUUUGGUGCUAGUGUUAUGUGAUUGAGUUUUAAAAAAGUGUGAAUAAAUAUUAUCAAAAAUGAAA